UACGUAGGGGGCAAGCGUUGUCCGGAUUUAUUGGGCGUAAAGAGCGUGUAGGCGGCCAGACAGGUCAGCUGUGAAAACUCGAGGCUCAACCUCGAGACGUCGGUUGAAACCGUCUGGCUAGAGUCCGGAAGAGGAGAGUGGAAUUCCCGGUGUAGCGGUGAAAUGCGCAGAUAUCGGGAAGAACACCCGUGGCGAAGGCGGGACUCUGGGCCGAUACUGACGCUGAGGAGCGAAAGCGUGGGGAGCAAACAGG
rnacentral:rRNA from 1 species